rnacentral:rRNA from 1 species
AACGUAGGAGACAAACGUUAUCCGGAGUUACUGGGCGUAAAGGGCGUGUAGGUGGUAUCGUAAGUCUGGCGUGAAAUUUCUCGGCUUAACCGAGGCAGGUCGUCGGAUACUGCGAGGCUAGAGGACGGUAGAGGCGUGUGGAAUUCCGGGUGUAGUGGUGAAAUGCGUAGAGAUCCAGAGGAACACCAGUGGCGAAGGCGACACGCUGGGCCGUACCUGACACUGAUGCGCGACAGCAUGGGGAGCAAACAGG